CCAGUGUCUCCACUGGGAGGAUCGGGAUGAAACGUUGCCUGGCAGAGCCUCAGACUUCAGAGGGAAGGGGCCUGGAGCUGUGCUUUGCAGCUGCCCCUGAGUUUCCACUCCUGGUUUUUGUGCAUGCGGGUGACUGUGCAGGAUGACUUAGUGUCGUCAUGCUUAUGAGUUAUUUUGAAUCUUGCUUUUCAAAACUUUAUUAUCAAUACACAACUUUCUAUCAUAUUACAAAAUCUUCUUACACACAGCUUUCACCAGCUGUAGGCUGUUUCCAAACAGAGGACCUAGCCACUCUUCUUUUGCAUGUUUUUUUCAUUAUUGUAAUUAAUAUCCUUAUACCUAAAGAUCUUUCUAUAUAUUGGAUUUUGUUUUAAAAUCACAGAUUUCUCAAUAAAAGUUACUGGGUCAAAAGGCAUGAAAUUUUUUUUUUUUUUUGAGACGGAAUCUCGCUUUGUCACACAGGAUGGAGUGCAGUGGCGAGAUCUCAGCUCACUGCAACCUCCACCUCCUGGGUUCAAGAGAUUCUCC
rnacentral:lncRNA from 10 species